UCUGUGCCCUCGACUCUCUCACGUUCUCCUCUCUUAAACCGCUUCUCUUCUCACUUGGGUGAUCUCCGUCUCUGUCUCAUGGCUUUACUCACCAGUGAAGGUUUCUCAAAAAGAUCAAAAUCACUUUGAUAUAGUGGAACUAGAAGGUGGCAGAACAAUUGAUGAUUAUGCAUGAAGAAUACUUGCAUAGAAAUCAAUAGGUCUCAGUUGUAAGUUAAAAGAUUUUUUCUCAAGGCAGAGAG